GUAUAAUUUUUCAUCCUCUCCAUCGCUGGUCAAUGUCUGUUCUUCAGGUAUUCGAUUUUAAUGGUGGUUGUUCUCCUUUCCUCUCUCCUCUGCAGUCAUCAACAUUAAAACAUAGAUUCACAUAAAUAUGCUCAAAUUCACUAAAUUCCAGGUUAUUUUUCAAUCGAAUUUAGAAAAUGGUUCUUGUUUAUACCGUUCUGGUAAUCUGGCCAAAAAAUGUUGUGGCAUCUUUGAUCUUCUUCUAACUUUGCUGACCUUGUUGCCUUUGUUCUGGUCUUUGUACCACAACUUCUCUCUAGAAUCUUGAAAAUUCCCUGCGAUUCCUUUUUCUGCAAAUAAAUGAAGACGGUAGUGAAGCGAAUUUGCAUUCGGGUUCAUUUCAUAAAACCACUACCCAAAUCAGACUUCCAGAGAAAAGCAGCAAGAUUUGUAAGCUAUAUGCCAACCCCAAAACAAGAAGAACAAGGGGUGGAAGAAGUAAACUUGGACAGUGAAAGCAUAUUAAACAGGACAUACUGGACAAGAAGGAUUCAUAAGCUAUGUGCCAUUGAUGGAAAUGUCGACGAGGCCCUUUGUCUCUUGGACUGCCUCCGCCUCCGUGGCUAUCGUCCUAACUCUCUAAAUCUCAGCAGUGUAAUCCAUGCCCUUUGUUGGUCCAAACGUUAUGCUGAGGCACACCAGCGAUUCCUCUUCUUUAUUGCCUCUCAUUGCAUCCCAGAUGAGCGCAUGUGCAAUGUCCUCAUUGCUAGAUUACUUGAUUCUCGAACCCCACAUGUUACAUUUGAUUUGGUUCAGAGUUUGAUCAAUGUGAACCCUGAGUUUGUUCCCUCUUUGAUGAAUUAUAACCGUUUGAUUGAUCAGUUUUGCAAGUCAUCGGAGCCUUGUGUAGCUCAUAGGAUUUUGUUUGACAUGGUUAAUAGGGGGCAUUGUCCAACUGUUGUUUCCUACACUACUUUGAUUAACGGGUAUUGUAUAUAUGGUGAGAUGGGACCUGCAUUUAUGCUCUUUAAUGAAAUGUUCAAGAAGGGAGUAGCGCCUAAUUCGUUGACUUAUAGUGUUUUGCUUGGCGGGGUUUUGCGGAGUGGUGAUGCACAAUUUGGGAAGAAAUUGAUUUUUCAGCUGUGGGAACAGAUGAGAAAGGAUGAUAAUCCAUCUGUUAAUUGUGCAUCAUUUGCCAAUCUUAUGGAUGUUUUGUGCAGGGAAGGAUUUUGUCAUGAAGUUUUCCGAAUUGCUGAAGAUAUGCCUCAAGAUAGAAGUGUUCCUGAGGAAUUUGCUUAUGCUCAAAUGAUGGAUUCUCUGUGCAGAGCUGAUAGGUAUCAUGGAGCUUCAAGGAUAGUGUAUAUUAUGAGAAAAAGAGGGUUUAAACCAAGCUUGACAGCAUAUAAUUCUAUCAUUCACGAGUUAAGCAAGGAUGGGGGGUGUAUGAGGGCUUUCCAGCUGUUUCAAGAAGGAAUUGCAUUUGGCUAUGUGCCAUCUGAAUAUACAUACAAGAUCUUGGUAGAAAAUCUUUGUCAAGAUGGUGAUAUAACCAAGGCAAAGGAGGUUCUGCAAUUCGUUCUACAGCUGACAACUGUGGACCAAACUAGAACCUAUAAUAUAUAUAUUAAAGCUAUAUGUCUUACCAACAAUGCAACAGAGCUCCUAAACACACUUGUUUCCAUGCUGCAAGCACAAUGUCAGCCUGAUGUGAUCACUCUUAAUACCGUUGUUAAUGGGUUAUGCAAAAUGGGAAGGAUUCAAGACGCAAUGGAAAUAUUUAAUGAUAUGAUGCUGGGUAAAUUUUGUGCACCUGAUUCCAUAACUUUCACUAUUCUAAUUAGUGGGUUAUUGAACGCUGGAAAAAUCAAAGAAGCUCUUGUUCUAUUGCAUGAGAAAAUGCCAAAAAGACAUAUCAGGCCCAGUGUUGUGACUUAUAAUGCAGUUAUUCGAGGAUUAUUCAAGCUUAAGAAUGUUAAUGAUGCUAUGGAAAUCUACAGAGCCAUGGUAACCCAAGGUUUGAAUGCUGACAGCACCACUUAUAGUAUAGUUAUUGACGGGCUUUUUGAGGCUGGGCGAUUAGAUGAGGCCAAAAGAUUUUGGGAUGAAAUAAUAUGGCCUUCCAAGAUUCAUGAUAGUUUUGUUUAUUCUUCCGUAUUAAAAGGACUUUGCCGGUGGGGUAGGUUGGAUGAGGCUUGCGACUACUUAUAUGAGCUAGUAGAUUGUAUGGUAUCACCUAAUAUUUUCAACUAUAACAUUUUAAUUGACUGCGCUUGCAAGUUGGGCUUGAAGAAACAAGCUUACCAGAUAGUCGGAGAGAUGAGGAAGAAUGGGUUAUCCCCAGAUGCUGUCACUUGGAGGAUCCUUGACAAAUUGCAUAGAAACUUUCAACUAGAAGAACAAGAAGAAAAAUAUCACUGUCUCAAUGUACAACUUUCCGACAGCAGAGUUUCAGAAGACAAAUAUGUUGACAGCAAUAUGGAAGUGGCUAUGUUCCAUCCUCCAUUUUAGAUGAGAGAAGUGGAAAUCGUUCCAAUUAGAUGGGAAAUGGAAAUAAAAGGCAUCUUGUUAUAGAAGUUCCGUCUUUGACCAGAGCUUAAAGGUUUGAUAUCAUUGACAGAAUAAAAAAGCAUCAAAGAGUGCCUUGAUGUUUGUCCGUACUGAGAUCAUGUCUUUGGCUAACAGAGUAAUUACAAACAGGCAAGAGAGAAAAGGCAAGAAAAAACAAGACAACAACAACAGACUACCUAAGUCUUCUGAAAUCAGCAGCCAUUCCCUUUGCGUUCCUAAUCUUCUCCCUGUUGCAUUUUUCUAUUACACAAUAGUCCAGACCAUUAGAUAUUCGUCUGAUUUCGAACUGAAAUAAGUGAAAAUAAGGCGAAGAGAAUAGAACCUUCUCCACAUAAGGUGACCAGAUCAAGUCUGCAAGCAGGGUAGCUUCUAAGGGCAUUAAUAAUACCCAUACAGUUUGUGUAAAUUUUUAUACUUCGCAUAUGGAGAGAGACAGCUUGUUGUAAUCCAAUCAAAACAGCCUUCAUUUCUGCUUGGCAAGCAUCCAGAGCUUCAACUUUCUGAACAUCUUUAGCAACCAUUCUGUUAUUAUCAUCAAUGAUCCACCCAAUCGCUGCAACAGCAUAACCUUUCUUCUUGAUUCUCUUCCAUGACCCUGCAAUGAUAAGGUUGACAAACACUGGAAUAUGAGUUCCUUUUAGAUGAAACUGAUGAUUUAUACCAAGCUGAUGGUCACUGCUUCUUUUAGGCCACUUCUUUUA